rnacentral:rRNA from 1 species
UACGGGGGGGGCAAGCGUUGUUCGGAAUUACUGGGCGUAAAGGGCUCGUAGGUGGCCAACUAAGUCAGACGUGAAAUCCCUCAGCUUAACUGGGGAACUGCGUCUGAUACUGGAUGGCUUGAGAUUGGGAGAGGGAUGCGGAAUUCCAGGUGUAGCGGUGAAAUGCGUAGAUAUCUGGAGGAACACCGGUGGCGAAGGCGGCAUCCUGGACCAACACUGACGCUGAGGCGCGAAAGCCAGGGGAGCGAACGGG